UUUAAUGACAACCCUUUACCAACCACAGAUUUCUGAAUCAUUCUGUUCAUUCUGUCUUAAUCCAUCUUCUAGCCUCACAUCACCCCAGCUAAAAAAGCCUGUCUUGAAUAUGAACAACACAUAUGAGCAGCCCACACAUCUUGCCUAGCACCAUGAUUUGCACAUGGGGGUAAGGAGCUGAAAGAAACAUGAGGAGCUGAAAGAAACAUGAGUGGAUAAGGCAGCAGCACCAUCCCUGCACUGUGCACACAAACUUCACAAACACUCCCAUUGGAAAAGAAAUCCCUGAGGUGCCAUCAUGUGGGAUGCCCAGAGUUCAGGCUCUAUGAGAAAGCAGUGGGAAAACCUCUUGUCUUCCAGGAGAUGAUAUGUGGUAUUCACAUGCCCUCUGAACAGAGAGAGAUGGAGCUUUCCCAGCAUUCUCCUGAGAAAGGCUGUGAGAGAUGCAGAGAAAAGAAUGAUCAAAACAAUUCUUGUCUCAUUUACUGCUCCUGUGUUUGUGCCCAUGUGGAAUGUGUUCUGGAGAUUCUUUACCCGAGGUGAUUGCUUGAUUGGGUUCUGGUGAUGGUGUUUUGGAUUCAUUGGCCAACUGGAUCCACACGUGUGUGUGUCAGGACUCUUGAGCAGAGAGUCACGGGUUUUCUUGUUAGUUAGUUAGUGAUAGCUCUUGUUAGUGUAAUAGAGUAUAAUAUAAUAUAACAAAGUAGAUAAUUAGCCCUCUGAUAUCAUGGAGUUCUGCACAUCAUUUUUCCACCCAUCAGGCAUCAUAACUCUGAUACUGAUAGAGUGUCACUGUCCCAGAGCCAUUGACAUCCUAAACUCUGGCAUUACAGCAACCUGCUUAGAAGUUUCCACAGCUACAGAAUUUCAGUCCUAGCCCAGAUCUUGGGACUACUCUAUACCACUUUUAAAAGCAAACCCAUCAAUUAUCUGGAUAUUGAAGGAGUGAAGGAUAAACUUGAACAAGUUACAUGAACAUUUUAAUUAAAGCACAUCUUGACAGAAGAUCAAGAAGAGAAUAACCUCCAGUAUGGAGCCAAAAUAGUCUUGAAAGUACCUGGAAGAUUAGAAUAUGAGUAAAUACAGAGUGUGACUCUUUCUUGCCACAGAGAAAAUCCCUGUGACCUCCACUCGCUGGGAGUCAAGGCACAAGUGAAAGUGCCUAAAGGGAAAAGAAAAAGAUCUUACCCAGGGAGGUAACAAAACUUUCUCAGCCAUGAGCAUGCCUUAUUGAAUGAGAAAGUUACUUUAACCCAGCACUCCAUACAUCCUGUGUGUAUGUAAAUAGGGGUGAAAUAUUCAUUUCACAUCUGUACUGGCUCCCUGCCACAGGAUGUGAUGAAGCACAUGGUGGAUUUUGCCUUCCCAAUAAUGACUCUGCCUUCCCAAUAAUGACUCACGUGCCACCUACAGUAAAUUAAGCAGAGAGGGGUGGCACAGUAACUACAAAUACAGAACAAAUGAGUGGUUUUUUAUCAUUGCUGUCUUCUUGUAACCAUCCUCUUCUGUUUUUCUUCAAGAAAAUAAACUAAACCAAAGUAGCAGUUUUCCCUGAACAAGGAAUGCUAUAAAUGUUACAAACAAGGAGUGUUAUAAACAAGUGUUAUAAAGGAGGAGUGUUAUAAAGAGUUGAGAACUCCUAUUUUAUCUGCAAAACAGACAUGCUGACAUCUAUAGCAUUACAAAGCAAAUGGAUUAUUUCUAGACUGCAGGUUGUGCAGAGGUGGGACCUGUGUCUGUAACACUGUUCUUAGCACAGUAGUGUUGCUACUAAAAUAUUAAUAACAAAUUAUAUACAUAGCGUGAAGGGUGGGAUCUUUUGCUUAAACUCAAAAAACCCCACUGAACAAGUGUAUGACACCCUCAGACACAUUCACUCCAAAUUGUUCUAACUCAGUAUUGACAUUUUUCUCCAUUAUCCAUCACAUCCAUGAGAUUUUAAUAUAAUUAUUUCAGAACAUUUCUCAGUUCUUGUCUGCUCUUGGAAAUAUACCAAAAUAGCUACAAUUAUUCUGAGAUGGUUUAUUUCAAUAUAAAUCCCAACGCGGACACUCUUAUUCCAAAA